rnacentral:siRNA from 1 species
AUCGACACUAGUAACUCUUUCCCA